rnacentral:rRNA from 1 species
CCUACGGGUGGCAGCAGUGAGGAAUAUUGGUCAAUGGGCGCGAGCCUGAACCAGCCAAGUAGCGUGAAGGAUGACUGCCCUACGGGUUGUAAACUUCUUUUAUAAAGGAAUAAAGUGAGGCAUGUGUGCGUUUUUGUAUGUAUUUUAUGAAUAAGGCUCGGCUAACUCCGUGCCAGCCGCCGCGGUAAUACGGAGGAGACGAGCGUUAUCCGGAUUUAUUGGGUUUAAAGGGAGCGUAGAUGGGGUGUUAAGUCAGUUGUGAAAGUUUGCGGCUCAACCGUAAAAUUGCAAUUGAUACUGGCAGCCUUGAGUACAGUUGAGGUAGGCGGAAUUCGUGGUGUAGCGGUGAAAUGCUUAGAUAUCACGAAGAACUCCGAUUGCGAAGGCAGCCUACUAGACUGCAACUGACAUUGAUGCUCGAAAGUGUGGGUAUCAAACAGGAUUAGAUACCCUGGUAGUC